rnacentral:rRNA from 1 species
CCUGGCUCAGAACGAACGCUGGCGGCGUGCUUAACACAUGCAAGUCGAACGGGUUCAUUUUAAGUASCAAUACUUGAGAUGAAUUAGUGGCGGACGGGUGAGUAACACGUAGGUAACCUACCCUUGAGUGAGGGACAACCCAGGGAAACUUGGGCUAAUACCUCAUAAGACCACGGUGUGAGAAUACUGUGGUAAAAGUAGCAAUACGCUCAUGGACGGGCCUGCGGCCUAUCAGGUAGUUGGUGAGGUAAAGGCUCACCAAGCCAAAGACGGGUAGCCGGGCUGAGAGGUUGAACGGCCACACUGGAACUGAGAUACGGUCCAGACUCCUGCGGGAGGCAGCAGUGGGGAAUAUUGCACAAUGGGGGAAACCCUGAUGCAGCGACGCCGCGUGGAGGAUGAAGGCCUUCGGG